rnacentral:misc_RNA from 1 species
UCCGGUUUGUCACCGGCAGUCUCAUUAGAGUGCCCAACUUAAUGCUGGCAACAUGGAACGGGGGUUGCGCUCGUUGCGGGACUUAACCCAACAUCUCACGACACGAGCUGACGACAGCCAUGCACCACCUGUGAAGGUGUCCCGAAGGAAAACCAUAUUUCUAUGGUGGUCACCUACAUGUCAAGCCCAGGUAAGGUUCUUCGCGUUGCGUCGAAUUAAACCACAUGCUCCACCGCUUGUGCGGGCCCCCGUCAAUUCCUUUGAGUUUCAGCCUUGCGGCCGUACUCCCCAGGCGGGGCACUUAAUGCGUUAGCUGCGACACCGAACCCGUCUAUAGGCCCGGCAUCUAGUGCCCAUCGUUUACGGCGUGGACUACC